rnacentral:rRNA from 1 species
CCUACGGGUGGCUGCAGUGGGGAAUAUUGCACAAUGGGGGAAACCCUGAUGCAGCGACGCCGCGUGAGCGAUGAAGUAUUUCGGUAUGUAAAGCUCUAUCAGCAGGGAAGAAAAUGACGGUACCUGACUAAGAAGCCCCGGCUAACUACGUGCCAGCAGCCGCGGUAAUACGGAGGGGGCAAGCGUUAUCCGGAUUUACUGGGUGUAAAGGGAGCGUAGACGGUCCGGCAAGCCAGAUGUGAAAGCCCGGGGCUCAACCCCGGGACUGCAUUUGGAACUGUAAGGCUAGAGGGUCGGAGAGGUAGGCGGAAUUCCUAGUGUAGCGGUGAAAGGCGUAGAUAUUAGGAGGAACACCAGUGGCGAAGGCGGCAUGCUGGACGAUGACUGACGUUGAGGCUCGAAAGCGUGGGGAGCAAACAGGAUUAGAUACCCUGGUAGUC